AUUGAACGCUGGCGGCAGGCCUAACACAUGCAAGUCGAACGAGUGGCGGACGGGUGAGUAAUGUCUGGGAAACUGCCUGAUGUAGGGGUAUAACUACUGGAAACCGUAGCUAAUACCGCAAACCAUCGUAUCUGCCCAGAUGGGAUUAGCUAGUAGGUGGGGUAAAGGGUCACCUAGGCGACGAUCCCUAGCUGGUCUGAUAGGAGGACCAGCCACACUGGAACUGAGACACGGUCCAGACUCCUACGGGAGGCAGCAGUGGGGAAUAUUGCACAAUGGGCGCAAGCCUGAUGCAGCCAUGCCGCGUGUAUGAAGAAGGCCUUCGGGUUGUAAAGUACUUUCAGCGGGGAGGCGUUACCCGCAGAAGAAGCACCGGCUAACUCCGUGCCAGCCGCCGCGGUAAUUC
rnacentral:rRNA from 1 species